CUCUUUUUCGUACGACCGAUAUUUACAGAGUACCACGUAAUAAAUAAUCCAACGAUACACUCUUAUCUCAUCGCGAACAUUCUGCACACACGUUUAUUAUACUUAAGGUGAAUUUUAAUAUGGAGUAAAGUAUGAAGUUUUAAAUGUAAUCUGCAGGAAAAAACAAGCCGUUUGCAUUUUAACGAUCUCUUUCCUCGCGUGGAAUAAUACUGUAUGUAAUAUAAUCGUUCAUAAUUCUUUUAUCUCCUUUGCUUUGUUUCUUAGCCUUUUAUUUUCAAUUCUUCCCGGCACUCGAGAUACGUAAGGGUGGUUACAAUGAGUAAAUAACAGCUUAAAUCGCACCCCUUUUAAAUUGAAAUUUCAGACACUAGGUGUCAAUAGCUGUCGGUGUGCCAGUUUUCAAACACACCGCCAAGGUAUUCGUACUUAGCUAUACGGCUUCCACCCCUCUCGAGAGCUAAUUUGGCUACGAGACAAAAUUCGGGUAGCCCGGUCUGCCAACGAGAUAAUGCUGUUAGAUAGCUCCCGCACCAGCAAACAAUCAGUUAAAAUUCCAACCAUUCUGACGGUGUCAGAAAAACAGGCUAAAAAAGUUUUUUAACCAACUUAGAAAAAGGAGGAAGUUACUCAAUUCGAUCAGUAUUCUUUUCUUUUUAAACCUGGAACGUUCAAGUCACGCGUGUUCUUUAAACACAGAACGACUUUUUGCGGUUCUUUACAAGGAAAGAUACAAGAAGUCUACAUCGGUGUCACAACAUGUCGACAAAUAGAGGAUUAACUUUAGCCGAUUGAAUAAUCAAGACUGACCGGAGAAACGCGAACGCAAUGAUUCACUUUAAUAACCGUAUGACGUUUUUAUAACAGGCGCUAGUUGAUUAUCAUUCGCGUUCUCGUCUAAAGAACACCUGCAGUUUCAUCAAUAGUUCGUUACUCGUUGAAUUUCCUUGGAAUUCUACAUCGGAGAUAAGUUUUCUCCAGCUCGACAGGGUAUGAGAUAAUCGAGUCUGUAAGACGAGAAGCGCAACGGUGGCAGGUUACUUUCGCUUUUGCGCUGAUUUGUGUUUUUGAAGCAAACGGAAAGAUCGACUACGAGUGAAAAAGAGGUCAACGAGAAAAUCUACGACUGUAUCACUUGCGUAACCAGGCUGUGGUUAGAGUUAGCUGUUCACUUCUACCGGCCGCACGCUGCAUUGAUUAUUUAUAGAAAAUAAGGAAAUCAACGAUAAUGUCAAACUCUGUCCAGCGACAGUGGUGUCCGUUGAAAUAUUCGUGAAAUAUUUAUGGGACACCCUCGGUGUUUACGAUCGUGUAUUCUUAAAAUAUUCAGAAAUUUACAUUUCAAAGAAAGAUUGCCUCUGGAAGAGACAGAAGCAUUUUUAUAACGUUUUAUCUCGUCAAUAAUAUCGAUCGGAUUAAGUGCAAUCUACCUUAGAAAUAGAUUACUACAUUGUACUUUGAUGUUAAGUUUUAACUAUUUUUGCACGAUGUAGCAAUAAAACGCGACAAUAAGUAUCACUUUUAUUUCUUACCACAUUUUUUUCAACUCUAGCUGCGGACAGUUAUAGAUAAAAAUAUUUACGAAACACGUGUGCCGAAGAUAAUCGAGGUCACCAAGUUCUGUAUAGAU